rnacentral:rRNA from 1 species
GUUGGUGACCUGCCCCGAAGAGAGGGAUAACAGUCCGAAAGGAUUGCUAAUACCGCAUAAUUUCCUUCAGGUUAGAGGAGAAGGAAGAAAGGGAGAAAUCCGCUUUGGGAGGGGCCUGCGUCCCAUCAGCUAGUUGGCAGGGUAAAAGCCUACCAAGGCGAAGACGGGUAGGGGACCUGAGAGGGUGGCCCCCCACAAUGGAACUGAAACACGGUCCAUACACCUACGGGUGGCAGCAGUAGGGAAUAUUGCUUAAUGGGCGAAAGCCUGAAGCAGCAACGCCGCGUGUGCGAAGAAGGCCUUCGGGUUGUAAAGCACUUUUGCAGGGGAUGAGGAAGGACAGUACCCUGCGAAUAAGCUUCGGCUAACUACGUGCCAGCAGCCGCGGUAAAACGUAGGAGGCGAGCGUUAUCCGGAUUUACUGGGCGUAAAGCGCGUGCAGGCGGACUGGAAAGUUGGAUGUGAAAGCUCCCGGCUUAACUGGGAGAGGUCGUUCAAAACUACCAGACUAGAGGAAGGGAGAGGGAGGCGGAAUUCCGGGUGUAGUGGUGAAAUGCGUAGAUAUCCGGAGGAACACCAGUGGCGAAAGCGGCCUCCUGGCCCAAACCUGACGCUCAUACGCGAAAGCUAGGGUAGCAAACGGGAUUAGAGACCCCGGUAGUCCUAGCUGUAAACGAUGUAGACUUGGCGUGGGUGGGUUCAAAUCCAUCCGUGCCGGAGCUAACGCGAUAAGUCUACCGCCUGGGGACUACGGCCGCAAGGUUAAAACUCAAAGGAAUUGACGGGGGCCCGCACAAGCAGCGGAGCGCGUGGUUUAAUUCGAUGCUACACGAAGAACCUUACCAGGGUUUGACAUGCAAGUGGUAGGGAAGCGAAAGCAGACCGACCCUUCGGGGAGCUUGCACAGGUGCUGCAUGGCUGUCGUCAGCUCGUGUCGUGAGAA